rnacentral:rRNA from 1 species
AUAUCAAUAAGCGGAGGAAAAGAAACCAACAGGGAUUGCCCUAGUAACGGCGAGUGAAGCGGCAACAGCUCAAAUUUGAAAUCUGGCCCUCGGGUCCGAGUUGUAAUUUGUAGAGGAUGCUUUUGGUGCGGUGCCUUCCGAGUUCCCUGGAACGGGACGCCAUAGAGGGUGAGAGCCCCGUCUGGUUGGACGCCAAUCCUCUGUAAAGCUCCUUCGACGAGUCGAGUAGUUUGGGAAUGCUGCUCUAAAUGGGAGGUAUAUGUCUUCUAAAGCUAAAUAUUGGCCAGAGACCGAUAGCGCACAAGUAGAGUGAUCGAAAGAUGAAAAGCACUUUGAAAAGAGAGUUAAAAAGUACGUGAAAUUGUUGAAAGGGAAGCGCUCAUGACCAGACUUGGGCUUGGUAGAUCAACCUGGGUUCUCCCUGGUGCACUCUUCCUCGUUCAGGCCAGCAUCAGUUCGCUGCGGGGGAUAAAGGCUUCGGGAAUGUGGCUCCCUCGGGAGUGUUAUAGCCCGUUGCGUAAUACCCUGCGGUGGACUGAGGUUCGCGUUCUGCAAGGAUGCUGGCGUAAUGGUCAUCAGUGACCCGUCUUGAAACACGGACCAAGGAGUCGUCUUCGUAUGCGAGUGUUCGGGUGUUAAACCCCUACGCGUAAUGAAAGUGAACGCAGGUGAGAGCUUCGGCGCAUCAUCGACCGAUCCUGAUGUUCUCGGAUGGAUUUGAGUAAGAGCAUACGGGGCCGGACCCGAAAGAAGGUGAACUAUGCCUGUAUAGGGUGAAGCCAGAGGAAACUCUGGUGGAGGCUCGCAGCGGUUCUGACGUGCAAAUCGAUCGUCAAAUAUGGGCAUGGGGGCGAAAGACUAAUCGAACCUUCUAGUAGCUGGUUUCCGC